rnacentral:rRNA from 1 species
UACGGAGGGAGCUAGCGUUGUUCGGAAUCACUGGGCGUAAAGCGCACGUAGGCGGAUCUUUAAGUCAGGGGUGAAAUCCCUCGGCUCAACCGGGGAACUGCGUCUGAUACUGGGUGGCUUGAAUCCGGGAGAGGGAUGCGGAAUUCCAGGUGUAGCGGUGAAAUGCGUAGAUAUCAGGAGGAACACCGGUGGCGAAGGCGGGUCUCUGGGCCGAUACUGACGCUGAGGAGCGAAAGCGUGGGGAGCGAACAGG